rnacentral:rRNA from 1 species
CCUACGGGAGGCAGCAGUGAGGAAUAUUGGUCAAUGGACGAGAGUCUGAACCAGCCAAGUAGCGUGAAGGAUGACUGCCCUAUGGGUUGUAAACUUCUUUUAUAUGGGAAUAAAAUGUUCCACGUGUGGGAUUUUGUAUGUACCAUAUGAAUAAGGAUCGGCUAACCCCGUGCCAGCAGCCGCGGUAAUACGGAGGAUCCGAGCGUUAUCCGGAUUUAUUGGGUUUAAAGGGAGCGUAGGUGGAUUGUUAAGUCAGUUGUGAAAGUUUGCGGCUCAACCGUAAAAUUGCAGUUGAAACUGGCAGUCUUGAGUACAGUAGAGGUGGGCGGAAGUCGUGGUGUAGCGGUGAAAUGCUUAGAUAUCACGAAGAACUCCGAUUGCGAAGGCAGUUCACUGGACUGCAACUGACACUGAGGCUCGAAAGUGUGGGUAUCAAACAGGAUUAGAUACCCGAGUAGUC